UUGAACGCUGGCGGCAGGCCUAACACAUGCAAGUCGAACGGUAACAGGAAGCAGCUUGCUGCUUUGCUGACGAGUGGCGGACGGGUGAGUAAUGUCUGGGAAACUGCCUGAUGGAGGGGGAUAACUACUGGAAACGGUAGCUAAUACCGCAUAACGUCGCAAGACCAAAGAGGGGGACCUUCGGGCCUCUUGCCAUCGGAUGUGCCCAGAUGGGAUUAGCUUGUUGGUGGGGUAACGGCUCACCAAGGCGACGAUCCCUAGCUGGUCUGAGAGGAUGACCAGCCACACUGGAACUGAGACACGGUCCAGACUCCUACGGGAGGCAGCAGUGGGGAAUAUUGCACAAUGGGCGCAAGCCUGAUGCAGCCAUGCCGCGUGUAUGAAGAAGGCCUUCGGGUUGUAAAGUACUUUCAGCGGGGAGGAAGGGAGUAAAGUUAAUACCUUUACUCAUUGACGUUACCCGCAGAAGAAGCACCGGCUAACUCCGUGCCAGCAGCCGCGGUAAUACGGAGGGUGCAAGCGUUAAUCGGAAUUACUGGGCGUAAAGCGCACGCAGGCGGUUUGUUAAGUCAGAUGUGAAAUCCCCGGGCUCAACCUGGGAACUGCAUCUGAUACUGGCAAGCUUGAGUCUCGUAGAGGGGGGUAGAAUUCCAGGUGUAGCGGUGAAAUGCGUAGAGAUCUGGAGGAAUACCGGUGGCGAAGGCGGCCCCCUGGACGAAGACUGACGCUCAGGUGCGAAAGCGUGGGGAGCAAACAGGAUUAGAUACCCUGGUAGUCCACGCCGUAAACGAUGUCGACUUGGAGGUUGUGCCCUUGAGGCGUGGCUUCCGGAGCUAACGCGUUAAGUCGACCGCCUGGGGAGUACGGCCGCAAGGUUAAAACUCAAAUGAAUUGACGGGGGCCCGCACAAGCGGUGGAGCAUGUGGUUUAAUUCGAUGCAACGCGAAGAACCUUACCUGGUCUUGACAUCCACAGAACUUUCCAGAGAUGGAUUGGUGCCUUCGGGAACUGUGAGACAGGUGCUGCAUGGCUGUCGUCAGCUCGUGUUGUGAAAUGUUGGGUUAAGUCCCGCAACGAGCGCAACCCUUAUCCUUUGUUGCCAGCGGUCCGGCCGGGAACUCAAAGGAGACUGCCAGUGAUAAACUGGAGGAAGGUGGGGAUGACGUCAAAUCAUCAUGCCCUUUAUGUCUUGGGCUACACACGUACUACAAUGGACAUUAACAGAGGGAAGCAAUACAGCGAUGUGGAGCAAACCCCUAAAAAUGUUCUCAGUUCAGAUUGCAGGCUGCAACCCGCCUGUAUGAAGAUGGAAUUGCUAGUAAUCGCAGAUCAGCAUGCUGCGGUGAAUACGUUCCCGGGCCUUGUACACACCGCCCGUCACACCAUGAGAGUUGGGGAUACCCGAAGCCUGUGAGCCAACAGUUAAAUGAGGCAGCAGUCGAAGGUAGAAUCAAUGAUUGGGGUG
rnacentral:rRNA from 1 species